rnacentral:rRNA from 1 species
GACGAACGCUGGCGGCGUGCUUAAUACAUGCCAGUCGAACGGUAAGGCCCUGCUUUGGUGGGGUGCUCGAGUUGCGAACGGGUGAGUAACACGUAAGUAACCUGCCCUGUACUGGGGGAUAACUUUAGGAAACUGUAGCUAAUACCGGAUAGCAGCUCCUGCUGCAUGGUGUGGGUUGGAAAGUUUCGACGGUUGGAGUAGGACUCGGGGCUGAGCUGCUUUUUGGUGGGGUAGUGGCUUAGAAAGGCUUUGACGGGUAGCCGGCCUGGGAGGGUGACAGGCCACAUAGGGACAGAGAUAGCACCAAGACGGAUACGGGAGGAAGAAGUGGGGAAUAUUGCACGAUGGGCGGCAGCAUGAAGCAGCGACGCCGGGUGCGAGAUGACGGCUGUCAGGUUGUAAACAGCUUGAGCGUGUGAAGAAGAGUGAGUGACGGUAACGGGUCAAGAAGCAACGGCUAACUACGUG